UAUUCUCUCGGACGCAGUCAUUGGGGAAUAUUGGAGCAAUGGGCGCUAGCCAUGGUCAGGCUCUGCUUGGGUGAAACAGACUUCCGGGUGUAAACGCCCUGUUGUUAGAAAGGACAAUGCAAGCUGGUUCAUACCCGGUUGGGAGGUCUGUACCCAAUAGAGAAUGCACACGGCUAAGUUUGUGACUUGCAGACGCGAUAUAGGAAGAGUGCAAGUGUUACUCAUUAUUUUUCGGUGUAAAGCGUGCGUCGGUGUUUCUUUAAGUCUGUAGUGAAAGCCUGGGCCUCAACGUAGGAAACUGCAGUGGAUAGUGGUCGUCUCGAAUGUCGUAGAGGGUAGCAGAAUUCCGUGGCGUUGCAGUGAAAUGCGUAGAGAUCAGGAGGAACAUGCAUGGGGGAAGGCAGCUACGUGGACCUUCAUUGACAAUGAGGCAAGAAGAGGUGGGGAGCAAACAUGGAUUAGAUGUCCUGGUAGUCCACGCCCUACACAGAUGCGAUCUGGAUGUUGGGUGCAAUUUGGCACGCAGUAAAGAAGCUAACGCGGUUAAUUUAAUCGCAUGGGGAGUUCGGUCGCAAGACUGGAACUCAAAGGAAUUGACGGGGGCCCGCUCAAGCGGCGGAGUUUGUCGUUUAAUUAGAUGAAACGGGAAGAACCUUACCUGGCCUUGACAUGUCGAGAACUUUCCAGUGAUGGAUUGGUGCCUUCGGGAACUCGAACACAGGUAAUCCAUGGCUGUCCUCAGCUUUUGUUGCGAGAUGUUGGGUUAAGUCCCGCAAAGAGCCCUACCCUUGUCAUUUUUUUCCAGCACGUAAUGGUGGGAACUGUAACGCCACCACCGGUGACAACCUGGAGGACGGUGGGGUUGACGUCAAGUCAUCAUGGCCCCCACGGCCAGGCCUACACAUUUACUACAAAGGUAGGGACCCACGGAUGCAAGCCGGAGACCCUAAACCAAUCCCAGAAACCUGCUCCCAGUCCGGAUUGGAGUCUGCAACUCGACUCCAUGAAGUUGGAAUCGCUAGUAAUCGCAGAUCCGCACCGGGCGGAGAAUACGUUCCCGGGCUUCGUACACACCGCCCGUCCCACCAGGGGACUUUGUUGACCCAGAAGCAGGGGGCGGAACCUUGCGGGAGGGCGCUGUCCACGGUGUCGCCACAUGCUGCGUGGCGCGUGUCAAACGAGA
rnacentral:rRNA from 1 species